CCUUUGGGUGGGGAAUAACCCAGGGAAACUUGGGCUAAUACCGCAUAAUGCAGCGGCUCGACAUCGAGACAGUUGUUAAAGCAGCAAUGCGCCUGAAGAGGAGCCUGCGUCUGAUUAGCUUGUUGGUGAGGUAAUGGCUCACCAAGGCUACGAUCAGUAGCUGGUCUGAGAGGACGGCCAGCCACAAUGGCACUGAAACACGGGCCAU
rnacentral:rRNA from 1 species